UACUUCCUCACUGAUCUUAAACAGCUGCAUUGAACAUUAAGAAUCAACAUUUUACAAAAUUCACAAAUAGCAGCAACCAUAAGAAAUGGACCUGCCUAAAAGCAGUCAGGCAUGGAGCAGAAUAGAUUGAAAAGCUAGGAAUCUCCAAGCACAAGCCAUAUAGAAAUAGUUUGCUCCCAUUUACAUUUUGUUCAACUGUUUGAUGGUUCCAACCAGUGGUACUGGUAUAAUUGCAACGAAAAGGGCAGAAGAAACAAAAGUGGCAUCUCCCCUGCCUAAACUAAUUGUUGGCUUUGCUCCACAUGGGCUUUUUGGAGAGUGUGAGCUGCUGAUUAUAUUGGGCCUUCAUAAUGUUGAACUCUAGCUUUAGUUGUCAAAAUGGCUAAGCCAUUUUAACUUUUGCAGGGUUCUAUUUUAUAGCCUUGCAUGUUUUAGUUUCCUACUGAUGUGGGAUUUUUUUAUUCCAACACUAAUCAGUACUAUAUAUCAAAAACUCUUCUUCAGGAUACAUGUACAAUGUUGGUGACAGAUUGGCAUGUUCAUAUUCUAGAUAUGAAAAAUAGUACAAACUAUGGCAAGAAAUAUAUAUGCCCACGCAGACACCUAAAAGAGCAAGAAACUCACAUAGCAAUCUUUGCCUUGUAAACG
rnacentral:misc_RNA from 1 species